rnacentral:lncRNA from 1 species
GGACAUAAUAGCUAAAGACUCAAUGUUACUAUAUGGGGGGUUAGUCACUCGAUUAAUGCUUGCUUAUAAUAUUUGUAUCUCACUCGAUGAAGAAAUAAUCCAGGUCGAUCGAUUUAACACUAUCAACAGAAACCUACUCAAGAGACUUAGGUGCACUUUUGGCAAUGGUAUAUGGAUUAGGCAACCUAGAAGGACUGAUCCAGUUCUCCCACCAGUAGAACACCUUGAAA